rnacentral:rRNA from 1 species
CCUACGGGAGGCAGCAGUAAGGAAUAUUGGACAAUGCUCGCAAGAGUGAUCCAGCCAUGCCGCGUGCAGGAAGACGGCCCUAUGGGUUGUAAACUGCUUUUGAACUAGAGAAAACCCUUCUACGUGUAGAAGGCUGAUAGUAUAGUUAGAAUAAGCAUCGGCUAACUUCGUGCCAGCAGCCGCGGUAAGACGAAGGAUGCAAGCGUUAUCCGGAUUCAUUGGGUUUAAAGGGAGCGUAGGUGGACUGAUAAGUCAGUGGUGAAAUCUCUCGGCUUAACCGAGAAAUUGCCAUUGAUACUGUUGGUCUUGAGUACAGUUGCUGUGGGCGGAAUAUGACAUGUAGUGGUGAAAUACAUAGAGAUGUCAUAGAACACCGAUUGCGAAGGCAGCUCACAAAGCUGUAACUGACACUGAGGCUCGAAAGUGCGGGGAUCAAACAGGAUUAGAUACCCUGGUAGUCCGCACUGUAAACGAUGAUUACUCGCUGCUGGGGUAGGUAACGUUACUAGUGGUCGUUAGUACGAACGACGAGUAAGUUAAGUACCCGUACCCGUACGGGGUAGGUACGGACCCGGCCGACCGGUACGGAAACGUAACCGAAACGUUAGUUAAGUUAGGUUACGGGCGGUUGGAGGACGUUACGGCCGACGGACGACGACGACGGGGAGGAGGG